GACGAACGCUGGCGGCGUGCCUAAUACAUGCAAGUAGAACGCUGAAGGAGGAGCUUGCUCUUCUGGAUGAGUUGCGAACGGGUGAGUAACGCGUAGGUAACCUGCCUGGUAGCGGGGGAUAACUAUUGGAAACGAUAGCUAAUACCGCAUAAGAGUAGAUGUUGCAUGACAUUUGCUUAAAAGGUGCAAUUGCAUCACUACCAGAUGGACCUGCGUUGUAUUAGCUAGUUGGUGGGGUAACGGCUCACCAAGGCGACGAUACAUAGCCGACCUGAGAGGGUGAUCGGCCACACUGGGACUGAGACACGGCCCAGACUCCUACGGGAGGCAGCAGUAGGGAAUCUUCGGCAAUGGACGGAAGUCUGACCGAGCAACGCCGCGUGAGUGAAGAAGGGUGUCGGAUCGUAAAGCUCGGUUGUAAGAGAAGAACGAGUGUGAGAGUGGAAAGUUCACACUGUGACGGUAUCUUACCAGAAAGGGACGGCUAACUACGUG
rnacentral:rRNA from 1 species